GGGUUGUGAGGUUAAGCGACUAAGCGUACACGGUGGAUGCCCUGGCAGUCAGAGGCGAUGAAGGACGUGCUAAUCUGCGAUAAGCGUCGGUAAGGUGAUAUGAACCGUUAUAACCGGCGAUUUCCGAAUGGGGAAACCCAGUGUGAUUCGUCACACUAUCAUUAACUGAAUCCAUAGGUUAAUGAGGCGAACCGGGGGAACUGAAACAUCUAAGUACCCCGAGGAAAAGAAAUCAACCGAGAUUCCCCCAGUAGCGGCGAGCGAACGGGGAGCAGCCCAGAGCCUGAAUCAGUGUGUGUGUUAGUGGAAGCGUCUGGAAAGGCGUGCGAUACAGGGUGACAGCCCCGUACACAAAAAUGCACAUACUGUGAGCUCGAUGAGUAGGGCGGGACACG
rnacentral:rRNA from 1 species